AGAGUUUGAUCCUGGCUCAGAACGAACGCUGGCGGCGUGCCUAACACAUGCAAGUCGAACGGAGAUAAGGGGCUUGCUCCUUAUUUUAGUGGCGCACGGGUGAGUAACGCGUGGAUAAUCUACCUUGGAAUCUGGGAUAACAUUUCGAAAGGGGUGCUAAUACCGGAUAAGACCACGAGCUCUUUGGAGUUUGCGGUAAAAGGGGGCCUCUGUAUAUGCUUCUGUUUCAAGAUGAGUCCGCGUACCAUUAGCUAGUUGGCAGGGUAAUGGCCUACCAAGGCGACGAUGGUUAGCUGGUCUGAGAGGAUGAUCAGCCACACUGGAACUGAGACACGGUCCAGACUCCUACGGGAGGCAGCAGUGGUUUUUUUGCUCUUUGGGGGAAACCCUGACGCAGCAACGCCGCGUGAGUGAUGAAGGCCUUCGGGUCGUAAAGC
rnacentral:rRNA from 1 species